UUAUUGAUCAUUUACGAAAAGUAUUAUAAGUGUUUAAACCACAAAUGAUAAUAGAGCAUUUACUAUAUAACUGUCUUUCUCCAUUUUGUCCAGCAAGACAACAAGUCUAAAGACUCGUUCAGUCAGUCAACAGAUCCAAGACGCUUCGUUCAACGCUGCUCUACUCCGAAUCUUGUUUAGACUUAAAACGCAGACUCGUCGACGUGACAACUGCUUCUUCACAAUUCUCUCUUUUCUGAAGGAACAAUCAUUGCUUUCUUUCAUUUUGCCACAAAUGAGUGCUGCUUCCAAACUGUACCUGCGGUGGGUGAGAAAGCUGCCGUUGGCAUGUCCCGAUCCGUCACAUCCUGGUGUGGGACAGGUUGGGCCUUCUGUCUUAAAUGCUUUCCAUGAGAACGGAGACCCGUUCAGCAAACCCUCCUUCUGCCGCCUGGCGGCCAACGGGCAUCCGUACGCACUGCGCGUGUGGACAGGUUAAGGAUCGCAGUGGCGGCCAUGUGGGCGGCUUCGGCAUCAUGGGAAUAAUCAUAGCCGCUGGAGGAGCUUUUUCCAUAACCACCGUGCAAGCUGGGACUUGGUGGGGAGGCCCUGGGGAAUGGAG